rnacentral:rRNA from 1 species
GACGUAGGACGCAGGCGUUAUCCGGAGUAACUGGGCGUAAAGGGCGUGCAGGCGGCUGCUCGAGUGGCUCGUGAAAGCCCCCGGCUCAACCGGGGGAGGUCGGGUCAGACUGAGGAGCUAGAGACAGUCAGAGGGACACGGAAUUCCGGGUGUAGUGGUGAAAUGCGUAGAGAUCCGGAGGAACACCAGUGGCGCAGGCGGUGUCCUGGGGCUGAACUGACGCUGAGACGCGAAAGCAUGGGGAGCGAACGGG